AGUGAACGCUGGCGGUAGGCCUAACACAUGCAAGUCGAACGGCAGCACAGUAAGAGCUUGCUCUUACGGGUGGCGAGUGGCGGACGGGUGAGGAAUACAUCGGAAUCUACUUUUUCGCGGGGGAUAACGUAGGGAAACUUACGCUAAUACCGCAUACGACCUACGGGUGAAAGCAGGGGAUCUUCGGACCUUGCGCGAUUGAAUGAGCCGAUGUCGGAUUAGCUAGUUGGCGGGGUAAAGGCCCACCAAGGCGACGAUCCGUAGCUGGUCUGAGAGGAUGAUCAGCCACACUGGAACUGAGACACGGUCCAGACUCCUACGGGAGGCAGCAGUGGGGAAUAUUGGACAAUGGGCGCAAGCCUGAUCCAGCCAUACCGCGUGGGUGAAGAAGGCCUUCGGGUUGUAAAGCCCUUUUGUUGGGAAAGAAAAGCAGCAGGUUAAUACCCCGCUGUUCUGACAGUACCCAAAGAAUAAGCACCGGCUAACUUCGUG
rnacentral:rRNA from 1 species